GAUGAACGCUAGCGGCAGGCCUAAUACAUGCAAGUCGAGCGGCAAGUCGAGGAGUAAUCUGAGACCUAGAGCGGCGUACGGGUGCGUAACGCGUAUGCAACCUACCUCAUACAGGGGGAUAGCACGGAGAAAUCUGGAUUAAUACCCCAUAGCACAGCACAAGGGCAUCUGCGAGCUGUUAAAGAUUCAUCGGGAUGAGAUGGGCAUGCGUCUGAUUAGCUAGUUGGCGGUGUAACGGACCACCAAGGCGACGAUCAGUAGGGGUUCUGAGAGGAAGGUCCCCCACACUGGCACUGAGAUACGGGCCAGACUCCUACGGGAGGCAGCAGUAGGGAAUAUUGGGCAAUGGACGAGAGUCUGACCCAGCCAUGCCGCGUGCAGGAAGAAGGCCUUCUGGGUUGUAAACUGCUUUUAUCUGGGAAGAAAAGGCCCAUGCGUGGGACAUUGCCGGUACCAGAUGAAUAAGCACCGGCUAACUCCGUGCCAGCCGCCGCCGUAA
rnacentral:rRNA from 1 species